rnacentral:rRNA from 1 species
UACGUAGGGUGCAAGCGUUGUCCGGAAUUAUUGGGCGUAAAGAGCUCGUAGGCGGUUUGUCGCGUCUGCUGUGAAAUCCCGAGGCUCAACCUCGGGCUUGCAGUGGGUACGGGCAGACUAGAGUGCGGUAGGGGAGAUUGGAAUUCCUGGUGUAGCGGUGGAAUGCGCAGAUAUCAGGAGGAACACCGAUGGCGAAGGCAGAUCUCUGGGCCUUACCUGACGCUGAGGAGCGAAAGCGUGGGGAGCGAACAGG